UACAGAGGGUGCAAGCGUUAAUCGGAAUUACUGGGCGUAAAGAGCACGUAGGCGGUCGUGUAAGUCAGAUGUGAAAUCCCCGGGCUUAACCUGGGAACUGCAUUUGAUACUGCAUGACUAGAGUAGGGCAGAGGAAAGUGGAAUUUCCGGUGUAGCGGUGAAAUGCGUAGAGAUCGGAAGGAACACCAGUGGCGAAGGCGACUUUCUGGGUUCAUACUGACGCUGAGGUGCGAAAGCGUGGGGAGCAAACAGG
rnacentral:rRNA from 1 species